rnacentral:lncRNA from 1 species
AUUCAGCAAGAAAGAAACUCCCAUCUGCAUACCAGCUUCAGAAAUGGCAAACCUGGAAUUUCAGACUUCAGCAGCAGUGAAACUCUGCUGGAAGAUAUGGCUCCAAUUUCCAUGCCGGAAGCAAUGUGCUGGGGGAUACCCUCCUCCCACCUCCCACCAGGACUUGUUAACAGCAGAAACUCUUGGUCUACCAGAGACAGAACCUUCAGGAAAGACAGAGCACUGAGAACUUCAGACUUUCAAGGUGAUCUAAAGAAUAGUUUUCUUAUAACAAAUGAUGCAGUGCAACAGAACCUACAUUCAAGCAGUAAGAGCAGCUCAUGUAACUCUGUGCUGAUGGUGACUUCUGAGUACUCUGGAUGCAAGCUGGGAUUUUCUUCCAUAUUCCUUAUGACACCUCAACCACACCUACUAAUAUUACAAGCUAUAUGCCUAAAUUCAGGAAGGAUGUGGGGACAACCCAACCACUUGAGUUACCCAGGGCAACCAUCCUGCACAACCAAGGCAGCUCACAAGCACAAUAUGAACGGCGUAACAUGGGCAUACAGAUGGCUCUGAAGAGUGUGUUAAAUUCAAUGGGAUUUUCUUUGCUCUACAAGGCCUCCCAGAAUCACUGUUUUGCUCCAAUUUUCUCAGCAUGCAUGGCUACAUCAGCCCUCUCUCAGCUAAGUCAGAGAGAGCUGAGAGCAUCUCUGUUCAAGCUAAUACAGUCUUCCAGAAAUGAGAGCACUGAAAAGUGAAAUGAAGGGAUGCAAAACAGUUUGGAGACAGCCAGGCUGUCCUUGACAUGGAUGACAAGCAGAUCCUGCUGCAACCUAAGCAGCUGCACACAGUGCUGCUCUCAUGCCUUUGCAUCAGAGGUCACAUGUAAACCUUCCCUUAUCCAAUUGUCACAGGUCUCUCUCCUCCCCUUCCCAUCUCCUGGGAGAUAAAAGCAGACUACUGGAGACAAAUCCUCAAACAGCCACCUUCUCAGAGAGACCAAACCAGCUGCAUGGAUUUUUUUGGGGUCAAGUGUUGGUUUUUAUUUUCUUCUUUCAGAGCUUGUUACUUUUGCCAAUAUUAUUUCCUAAAGAAAAUCCUACACUUGCUUUAACAGGUAGUACUAAAAUACUCACCAGUCCUCUGAAAGCUCAAAACCAACCUAGUCUAUGAAUGCAAGAGAAGACAUAUCAAUGAACAAUAAAAAAACCCACACAACAACCUAAAUAAAACCU